GCAUCCUUCGGGAUGAGCGGCGGACGGGUGAGUAACGCGUGGGAAUAUGCCCUUCUCUAAGGAAUAGCCUCGGGAAACUGAGAGUAAUACCUUAUACGCCCUUCGGGGGAAAGAUUUAUCGGAGAAGGAUUAGCCCGCGUUAGAUUAGGUAGUUGGUGGGGUAAUGGCCUACCAAGCCUACGAUCUAUAGCUGGUUUGAGAGGAUGAUCAGCCACACUGGGACUGAGACACGGCCCAGACUCCUACGGGAGGCAGCAGUAGGGAAUCUUAGACAAUGGGGGAAACCCUGAUCUAGCCAUGCCGCGUGUGUGAUGAAGGCCUUAGGGUCGUAAAGCACUUUCGCCAGAGAUGAUAAUGACAGUAUCUGGUA
rnacentral:rRNA from 1 species